CCUGAUCCCUUCCCGAACUCAGAAGUGAAACGAUGCAUCGCCGAUGGUAGUGUGGGGUUUCCCCAUGUGAGAGUAGGUCAUCGUCAAGC
rnacentral:rRNA from 2 species